AGUAUUACCUGGCGUAGGGGUUACCGUGAUCACGAAGGCGGUUCCUCCAGGAUGAGGCCUUUCCAUUGCACUACGGUCGUGCUGACUCCUGCGAAUGCCCCAAAUGUGGGUUUCUCGGGCGUGUAGCCUAAUUUUUUCAAAUCAAGGAAAAAAUAAUUUUUUUUUAU